AGCACAUAGAGAGUUUAUGAUAUACUAUUAAUCUAGUUAUAUUACCCAUUGAAACAGAAGUGGAGAUGAUAUUACAUCCUUUGGAACCUGGCUGGGAGUCCAUGUUGAGGUACCGGAAACGGGCUAUACUGUAUCACGCCCUGAGAACCUAUGACUUCCCACCUGCCAUUGUUAAAGCAUGAGAAAUGACAUUAGAAUACAGAUUUUAACACACUUUCAUGAGCUGCAUAUGCAAGGUAUUUGAGAAUCCAAGUUAGAGCAGUAGCUGUUGUAUCUUGCGCAGCAAAGAGUACACCAAUGAUAUUGUCGGCAAUUUGAUCUUCCAUUAAAGAAAUGAAAAUUCUUCGUUUCGUGCGUCUUGAGAAAUAAAAUGCUGCUCAUAUAUUCUAGAAAACGGACCAGAUAUUAUAUGGAAGCUGAUGGAAAGUCCUAAUUUGAAUGGCCGUAUAUUUUGUGAUUCCAUGGUUGGAAAGUUACCUUGGAAAUGAAUUUGGGUGUAAUUGAACGUAAUUAUACAAUUUGAUAUGUUUGUUUUGCCAAGUAAUUAUUUAGUCAGCAUGGAAUUGGGUGUAAUUGGAAGGGUGUAAUUACACUUUUUAUUUCUCAAGGGAAG